rnacentral:lncRNA from 1 species
GUUUGAAGAUUAUUAGAUUUCAUCAAGAAUUGAACAGCUUGUUCAUCAAAAUUCAGGAGGAAAGCCAACUUGAUCAGUUCAGAGAGUGCUUUUAUUUGAUCUUCUUUAUCCCACAACACCCCCCGAGCUAUUACUUCAGAAAAAGAGGUUGCAUAUUUAAUAAGAUUUUUCUGGCUGCCGGCUUUAUCCAUCUUCUGUGUGAAAAACUUUGAACACUCUUUAUCCCAGCGAAUCAUACGGCUUGCUUUCACCUUCAGAGGUUCCCCGUCAGAAAGCAAUAAACUAUAGCUUACAGUAAUUGGCUCCAUAGUCUCCAGCACCUUAAGAUUCAGGAGGCACUGGACAGCUCCAUGCCUCGUUGUUGCUUCCAUAUCAAGAGAAGGAUCUGCUAGAAAGCCAAGAAUCAGUCUAAUCAGCUCCUUUCCAAUCCCAGCAUCCCUCGAAUCCAUCUGACUAAGUUCUACUCCAUCUGCCAAUGACAAUUCUUCCUUCAGCACUGAUUCAGAUACAGUGCGAACCCCAAUUUUCCUGUAGACUUCAAGCAACCUAGUUCGAGGCAAAGAAGGCAAGUUUGGCUGAGGACACCAGACAAAUAUCGGGCGCGAUGAGAACUUCUCAAAUAGGUCCUUUAGUAGAAGGUCAUCAGCAAUAAAAACAUCACUCUUGCUGGACAACAAAAUUUCACCAGAGCGCAAAACAACAGGUAGCUUUACCAAAUCAUCAGCAAGGGUUCUCUCUGUCCUUGAGCUCCUUUGCAUCAUAACACACUCCCAAAAAGCACAGCACUCAGCAUGUGUCAAUGGUCUUCCUAAACUUUCCCAAACCUUCCAAAGCUUACAGUAAUCAUCAAAUGAAGGAUUGGAUUUAACAUUAAAUGAACUGGAGAAGAAAUGAAGUAAUUUUGGCUUAUAAUGAUUCUCCAAUACAUUCAGCUGUAGACCAAAGAGACCAUUUUUGUCAUGCAGAGCACAUUCUUCUGGGUUAACCCACAUUCCAUUCUCAAGUCCAUCAGGAAUCCAAAUCUUUCUGGUAGCAUCACUAUCUGGUUUCCACUUAUUUUCUCUCAGAAAAUCAUAUACCCGAACUAUAGUGUCAAAUUCAGAAUGGGAAUCAAGAUGACUGGCAAGCAAUGAGCAAACCUUUUCUUCAUCAACUCCUAUUGCACUGAGCUCUUUUGAAUACAAUUUGAUGUCAAAACCAUAAAAAUCUUCAUCAAUGAAUGGUCCAUCAGUAGGCCUCACGUGGGAACUCCACCGGGAAUUGAACAAACAGCAGUUACCCGGAGACCUGAAACCAGCAUGGGUCUUUAACCAUCCUCGAGAAAUAUUUUUCAUAAAAGCAUCGGGAAAGGAGUAAUCCUUUUCUUGCAGUAAAGCACGGAUGCAUUCCAGUAAUGAAAGCACAUUCCCGGGAGCAAUGUCACGUGGAUUUUGAGGAAAGCGAAGACCAGCAGCCACAAACUUCACACUGGCUUUAAAUUCAACAACGACCCCCAUACUCUUCAGCUCGUUUCGAUACUCAUGAAUGCCAUUCCCAUAGUAUUUGUCGCUGUCAUCGAUAAACGGAAGGCGAGUAAUUGGAUAAAUUAACUCCCACUCAGGACCGAACAGAAUACAAUCUCUUGGAGAUCUAUAAUCACCAAGCCGAGUCCGCAGCCAUUUCACCUCGCGGAUGCACUUCUUAAGAUCUGAAGGAAAUUUGUUUGGAGUUCCCUUCAGUUUUCUGCAGCAUGAUAUGAAUGAAAACACAUUUUCCUUUGUAAUGGAAGACGAAGAUGCCUGCUUCAUAAAAGUGUGAACAAACACUCUGACAGCAUCCUCAAAGUCUACCUUUACUCCCAGCUCCUUCAACUCCGUAUUGUGAGAGAUGAUGCUGCUUCCAUAGAAAUUACUAUCAACCAAUGGGAAACCACCAAAGACCUUUAGAAGACAACCCCAUUCAGGAUUAAACAAGAAACAAUCGCCAGGACAUUUGUAACCUAAGUUUGUCUUUAAGCAUUUUGUACUUUUCACUGCAUUAACUAGUUUGUGAGCAGAACUAGAAUGAUGCAUGCAAUCCAAAACCAGAAGAAAGGCCUCCUUUGUCAGAGUAGAUAAGCAUGAAGGCGAUUUAAAGCAAUCAACAACCAAUUGAUAACUUUCAUUGAAGCCAACUACAACGCCAAGCAACUGGAGUUCUGGUUUGAAAAAAAGGAUGUCCUCGCCAUAGUAAUCUUCAUCAAUGAAAGGGAUGUCACUAAUUUGCCUCGCAGUUGUCCACUCCUGAUCAUAUAGAACAGAUCCAACCGGAGACCUAUCACCCCAACAAGUCCUUAGCCACCUUUCUUCUUUAAUUCUGCCGAUGAAUUCAUCUAGAGAAAGAAAUUUCUGCCUCAAAAAUCUGAUGAAAUUCAGUAUGGAGAUAACAUUACUUUUAGUUAAAGCGGAUGAAGCUGCCAAAGACAUGAGAUGGUUCCCGAUAAAUUUGCAUGCCUCUCCAUACUCAAACAUGACCCCAACUGUCCGUAGCUCCUCUCUAUACUCCGUAAUUUUAUGACCAUAAAAACCCUGAUCUAUCAAAGGAAUAUCGACAAGCACAGAUGCACUCUGCAAAAUGUUUCCCCACUUUGAGCUUCUGUUGCUCGAAGCAAGUAGGAAUGACUGUGAUGGUGGUUUGUAACCAGGAGAGCCAUUCAUAGUAAUUUUCAGCCAGCUACCCUCCUGUAUGCAAGCCAUGAACCUUGCUGGAAUGUGAAUUCCACUCCGUUUCAGCUCACGAAUCCAAUCCAACAGCAGAAAUGCAUUUUGUUUGGUAAGUGGUGUUGAUGCAGUAGGUAUUCCAGCAUUGGGGGGAGAUAUGUGAGGAAUAUCAGAAGCCUUAACAUAAACUUUAAGGAAAUUCAUGAGUUGGUUUCCCACCGUGCUUGUGCCAGCAAAACAUGCAGGAUGCAAGUAGUCUUCUCCUAACUCAACAUAGCUUUCUCCGCUCCAAGGAUUAGAACCAAUCAAUUGCACCCAUUUGCUUUCAUUAGCUGGGACUAGAACCGCAUUCCUUGCUUUGAUCACAUGGCCAUAGCUAUCAAUAAGUGGCAUCUUACCACACAAAGAAACAACUUCCCUUUCCGAUAGAUAGUCAUUUAAGAAUGAGUGAUGUAAGAAGUGAGCAUAGGCAAUGACAAGUUUCCGGUCACAACUGACUUGAUCUCCGUAGAGAUCUGCAUAAUUAUAUACGCUUAAAGCUUUGAUUUUAACCAGGUCUACAAGCCAUUUUAACACAAGUUCUUUGUUAGAUGAUGAACAUAUAGCUUCUUGUGUGGUUCUUGGCACAAAAAAAUGAUUUGCCAUGCAUCGGAACUCUCUAUUCCAAUCAAUCAACCAUGAGACACGAGAAGAUUGAAGUGAUAGGCACAGAGUUUUACCAUACGGUUGAGCAGAUUCAUUAACAGAGCACAAAGACACGCUCCCAUCAGUACCCACAUAUUUAAUUAGUGGAAUGAUCCCCAUGCCUGUGCUGUGAAACUCGGACUGCCAAUUAACAGCAAGGAAAUGAAGAAGCUCCAGGUACGUUUCCUCUGAGACUCCCAUUACAAUAUUAGAGCCUUGAAUGCACUUUACAUACCACUCACUGCUUACCGGUCUCACCCCCAAGAAAUCCAGUAUGUCAUCAUACUCUGGCUUAUCAAAUGAAGAAUUCAGAACAUAGCAACCAUGGGAUGAAAGUUUGUGCAAGCUCACUCCUCGCUCCCUUGUCUUCUUCAGUAUAUUCCAGAAAGCAGGCAUUAAUCGGCCAACUUCACGUGGUUUAUGAAAGAACUGUUGUGCUGUGUAUGACUCACUUGGAAUGAUAUCCUUUUCAGCCAGCUUCGCUUUAAUUGAUUCCCUCAAUGAAUUCAACUUUUCAAAGGGGGAGCUAUGGACCGGCAAGAACUUGAACAUUCGAGGCAAACUAGAUGCUGGUGCACCAUGCACUGUUUUGACUAAUGAGACAAAUGCUUCGAUAAAAGCAAAGGGAACACAAUCAAGAAUUCCCUGGUUCCAUAUGUUGUCCCAUCGUAUUGUUUCCCUUGAUGAUGCUAGAAUAAAAUCUGCUUGAAUUAUGAAGGGAAAGUCAGUCACCAUCUCGGUUGGAAGAAAUGCAUAUAUUCCAGGGGAGUACUUCAUCCCCCUAUGGAGGCGCUCUCCAUUAGGAAAAGCCAAAGUGAUCACCAAAUCCUCCACUUCCNNNNNNNNNNNNNNNNNNNNNNNNNNNNNNNNNNNNNNNNNNNNNNNNNNNNNNNNNNNNNNNNNNNNNNNNNNNNNNNNNNNNNNNNNNNNNNNNNNNNCACAAACAGAGUAUGUCAAGAAGGUUCUCAGCAGGUUUAGUAUGGAUAAUACUAAACCAGUAAGUACACCACUGGGGAAUCAUUUCAAGCUCAGCAAAGAUCAGUCACCAAAAACUGAGCAAGAAUGUGGAUACAUGGAUAAGAUUCCAUACGCCUCAGCUAUCGGCUCUUUGAUGUAUGCUAUGGUCUGUACCAGACCAGACAUUGCCCAUGCAGUGGGAGUUGUAAGCCGAUAUAUGAGCAAUCCUGGAAAGCAGCAUUGGGAGGCGGUCAAAUGGAUCAUGAGGUACUUAAAAGGUUCCUCAGAAACUUGUCUCAGUUUCACAGCUGGUGGUUUGAAACUUGAAGGUUUUGUAGAUGCUGAUCUAGCAGGAGAUGUUGAUAGCAGAAAGAGCACUACAGGAUAUGUUUAUACUCUAGGAGGUACUGCUGUUUCCUGGAGUUCUACCUUGCAAAAGAUCGUUGCUCUUUCAACAACAGAAGCUGAAUAUGUUGCAGUCUCAGAAUCUGCAAAAGAGAUAGUAUGGUUGCAGAGUUUCUUGAAAGAAUUGGGCAAGUUGAAUGGAAAGGGUACUUUGUAUAGCGACAGUCAGAGUGCAAUCUUCCUUGCCAAGAAUCCAGCAUUUCACUCCAGGACGAAGCAUAUUCAGAUCAAAUAUCACUUCAUCCGACAACUGCUGGACGACGAGCAACUAAUGCUNNNNNNNNNNNNNNNNNNNNNNNNNNNNNNNNNNNNNNNNNNNNNNNNNNNNNNNNNNNNNNNNNNNNNNNNNNNNNNNNNNNNNNNNNNNNNNNNNNNNNNNNNNNNNNNNNNNNNNNNNNNNNNNNNNNNNNNNNNNNNNNNNNNNNNNNNNNNNNNNNNNNNNNNNNNNNNNNNNNNNNNNNNNNNNNNNNNNNNNNNNNNNNNNNNNNNNNNNNNNNNNNNNNNNNNNNNNNNNNNNNNNNNNNNNNNNNNNNNNNNNNNNNNNNNNNNNNNNNNNNNNNNNNNNNNNNNNNNNNNNNNNNNNNNNNNNNNNNNNNNNNNNNNNNNNNNNNNNNNNNNNNNNNNNNNNNNNNNNNNNNNNNNNNNNNNNNNNNNNNNNNNNNNNNCAUUAAUACAAACCAGUAGCUCCGUGGAGUAGGCAAGUUGCCGAACCACGUAAAUUGUGUGUGUUUGAGUUCUGGAAAUAGCCCAACACUUGUGUAGUUCUAGGCACAAAAAAAUGAUUCGCCAUGCAUCGGAACUCCCUGUUCCAAUCAAUCAACCAUGAGACAUGAGAAGAGUAACGUGAUAGGCACAGAGUUUUACUAUUCCGGUGAGCAGAUUCAUUAACAGAGCACAAAGAAACGCUCCCAUCGGCACCCACAUAUUUAAUUAGUGGAAUGUUCCCCAUGCCUGAGCAGUGAAACUCGGACUGCCAAUUAACAGCAAGGAAAUGAAGAAGCUCCAGGUAUGUUUCCUCUGAGACUCCCAUUACAAUAUUAGAGCCUUGAAUGCACUUUACAUACCACCCACUACUUGCCGGUCUCACCCCCAAGAACUCCAGUAUGUGAUCAUACUCUGGCUUAUCAAAUGAAGAAUUCAGAACAUAGCAACCAUGGGAUGAAAGUUUGUGCAAGCUCACUCCUCGCUCCCUUGUCUUCUUCAGUAUAUUCCAGAAAGCAGGCAUUAAUCGGCCAACUUCACGUGGUUUAUGAAAGAACUGUUGUGCUGUGUAUGACUCACUUGGAAUGAUAUCCUUUUCAGCCAGCUUCGCUUUAAUUGAUUCCCUCACUGAAUUCAACUUUUCAAAGGGGGGGCUAUGGACCGGCAAGAACUUGAACAUUCGAGGCAAACUAGAUGCUGGUGCACCAUGCACUGUUUUGACUAAUGAGACAAAUGCUUCGAUAAAAGCAAAGGGAACACAAUCAAGAAUUCCCUGGUUCCAUAUGUUGUCCCAUCGUAUUGUUUCCCUUGAUGAUGCUAGAAUAAAAUCUGCUUGAAUUAUGAAGGGAAAGUCAGUCACCAUCUCGGUUGGAAGAAAUGCAUAUAUUCCAGGGGAGUACUUCAUCCCCCUAUGGAGGCGCUCUCCAUUAGGAAAAGCCAAAGUGAUCACCAAAUCCUCCACUUCCAUUCUCAUGUCGACUCUGUUUUCCUGCCUGACAGGAAAUUUCUGUUUCCACAAGUAGUAGCUGCAUUCUUUUUCAAAUUCAUCACUGUUUUCAUCUGCAGACAGAUGGAGUGUGUAGGACUCGGCAUCAAUGUUUUUCCUUUGCACGAAAUUUGUCUCUUUGGUAAUAGCUACUGCACUAACAGUGUUGAGCCUGGGAUCCUCAUUUUCUUCCCUGACAGAAAGACGUUUUAUCUUUGAAAGGAACAGCAGGAUUUCAGGAUGAAUACUCGACAGCUGCUGCUUCACGGGGUUCACCUUAUCAGGCUUCAGAGGCAAAAUCAGUGUAGUAGUUGGGAGGGUAGAAGCGGAACCAUAAAUCUGUUUUAUGUCAGAAAGAGAUGGGCUAUCAUCAACCCAUUCAGGAACUAUGUAUCCAAGAUUGCAGUGUGGACAGGGCUUUUCAUUGAAUCGUAUCUGAUAGCCAUUGCUGAAUAUGUAAGGCUGAGCAGCAAUAAGAAACACACUCUUGAAUCCAAUUCCUGCAUACCAAACCGAAACAAAGUUUAUUAGAACAGAAUUGAAGAUAAAUAAGAGGUGUCUCACUAAUGGGUUACUGAAUGAUACGGUUGCAAACCGUAUCCAACUCUAUCAUGAUUUAUUAGCCAGCUCAUGGUCAUUCCAUUAGCUCUCCAUUAGUCCAGUAUGGUUAAUGCAGUAGUAACCUGUGUUCCAAAGUUGAAAAGAUCUUCUGUUCAUAUGCUUUGCAUGUUUGUGUUGUGCUUAGCUCAACGCCUUGGCAAUGCAAUGUUUAAGCAGACAAGUUUACUAGGUUCAAUUAGUUGAGUUUCCAUACAAAACCACGGGGGUGUACCAGUUUCUAAUAUGCUUGGUUGCAAGUUUUUCAUUUGUCGUCGAAGCAAAUGUAGACUAAAAAACAAAAAUGUACUAAAACACGUUCAGAAUCAGGAUCCCUGAUCCAGCAGAAUCUAUAAGACUCUAGCCAGUCACACAACCGAGAAACAACACGACACAAGCAAUAAGCCGACAGCUCGGAAGUGCGCACAACUUAUAAAUUACACUGUUGCACAAGAAAUUGAGCAAGGAAAAAUACCUUUCUCCCCAAUAUAGCCACGCUUCCGGUUCCCUUUCUUAGUGGAAUUUCCAACAUUGCAAAUGGACUCGAUAUUUUUGGCAGAAAAACCCUUCUCAUUAUUGAAGAUGAGCAAAGUAGCAGGCGCACCAGUGUUUGUUAUAUCUCGAGAUGUUAUGACAAACUCAAGUGAAGGAUCCACCCUUUCCAAGUAUUCAUUAUCUUCAGCAUUCUGUGAAAGGAAAAUUCACCCUGGAAUCAAAGGAUAGUAAACUAUGCAUAUUAUAUCAGAUCAAAAUAACUGCUACAAAAAUUAAAAUAUCCAAAAUUUAACAUGAAAAAUGCACAAUUGUUUUUAUCAAAUUCAACAAAUUAUGAUGAUAGCAAUCCAUUCCUUCUUCAUUUUUAUUAACUGUUGAAGACCUUGAAUGAUCAAAAUUAGGUAGCUUGAUGACUUCAUUUCAACUAGAAAAACAACAAGAACCCAUUUUUUCACCGAAAGCCACAGCAAAAAAAAAAAAAAAAACAACAGUCAUUGACUCAACUUGACUCUUAGCUUUUCAAUUCAGUAAAACAAAAAACAACAGAAAUUUGCAGCUUCCAAUUUUAAUCACUAGCAAAGCAAUCAGCGACUACAAAAUUAAAAGAGUAAAAUGGAUCAAGGGCAAAUAAAACAUAUAAAGUAAAACAUGCAACAUUAAACAUACUAAACAGCAUUGUCUGGUCACAAUGAUAAAAAAGAAAGCAAACCUGAAUGAGUUCCAUAAGAAAGUGGACAUCUUUAGCGUAGAGUUCAGCAGAAAGAUACUUGACAGCCUGAUCAAGCAUAGGAGCCAAAGGGUUCUUUUCUCCUCCUAUUGAGAAUGUAGUUUUUCUUAUGUGUUCUAUGUGUUGUUUUGGAGUUGCCAUUGUUGCUCUUGCAAACAGAAAAGAAAAAACACCCAGAAACCAAAAAAGAAAAACACGAAGUUGAGUAGUUACAGUCUUACAGAGAGAAGAAAGCAGAGGUUUUGAAGGAAACAAAGAAAGCUCGAAAAGAGGAGAAGGUAGCGGUAGCGGUAGUAGUGAGUAGUGAAGUGAAGACUAGAAACUAAGAAGACUCCUUCAUAGGGAAGGAAACUUGUACAGGUAGGAGUGGCGGAGGAAAAAGAGGAAAGGCAUUGACUUGAAAAAAAAAAAAAAAGCAUAGAAAUAUUUAAACAAUAAUCGAAAGAACCUAAAGAAUAUGUUUUUCCUUAUCAGUACAAAUUUAGAAAAUUAGAAAACUAGUUUUUUCAAGCAUAGAAAUAUUGUAUUUAAAUAGGAAGGUUUGGUUUUUCUUUUACUUAGUUUAUUAUUCCAUAAAAUUAGAGUAUUUUUCUGUUUUCUGAACAUUCAUUUUGUAAAAUUUUUGGCAUAAAAUGAGAAAGAUAGUUUAAAAUUAUUUUAAAAACAUUUAUUUUUGAUAUUAACGUAUUAAAACGAUUUAAAAAAAUUAAAAAAUUAAUUAAAAAAUUAAAAAUACAAUUAAAACCCCUAUACCAAACAGAAUCUAUCUUAAGUUAUAUAAACAAAAAUACUUCGCUUACUUUUACAUAAUGAAAAAGUAAAGUCAUCCACGAGAAGUUAUCAUAAUAUACUUAACCCCUAAGGCAUAUGGUUAAGGAUUAUAAAAGAGAGAGAGUACUGAUCCCACCAAGGUUUCCAUGAAUCCAAGAUAGGAUUAUCGUAAGUUUUUUUUUUUAGGCCUUCAUGCUUAAUUAUACAGAAACUAUGCUGAGGGAAAUCUUCCCCUCCUCAUUCUCUUUAAGCAUGAAUAGGAAAAGGCUCGAAGGAAAAGAGAGUUGCUAAUCGAACUGAACCACGCCAUGUUGUGAUCAUCGAAUUACCUCAUUGGUACAAAAAGAAAAAAGACAAGGGCUGAUUCAAGAGUGGACCUGCUAGCGUAAAAAGAACUCGGACGUAGUGGAAGAGGGGAAAACUUGCUCGAGAAGUAGUGUAAAGUUGGAAGCCAAAGCUAGACAAAAGAAAAGGGCUAUCAAAUUUCAAACAUAGAAAAGUGGACUCAAAUAUUCGUUUUUCACUGUUCGGAAAGAGAGACUGGUCUUUAAUAAUAAUUGAAUGGUCCUCUAUGAUUCGACCGCACAAGACUUGAGUGUGUUUGGCUAAGUGUUUAAUAUAUUUUUUUAAAAAAAAUAUUUAAAAUUAUUUUAUAUAUUUUUUUGAUUAGCUUGUUCUAACAAGCUGAGGGAAAUCUUCCCCUCCUCAUUCUCUUUAAGCAUGAAUAGGAAAAGGCUCGAAGGAAAUCUUCCCCUUCUCUUCAUGCUAAUUGAACUGAACCACCCCAUGUUGUGAUCAUCGAAUUACCUCAUUGGUACAAAAAGAAAAAAGACAAGGGCUGAUUCAAGAGUGGACCUGCUAGCGAGAAAAGAACUCGGACGUAGUGGAAGAGGGAAAAACUUGCUCGAGAAGUAGUGUAAAGUUGAAAGACAAAAGAAAAGAAAAGGGCUAUCAAAUUUCAAACAUAGAAAAGAAAAGGACUCAAAUAUUCGUUUUUCACUGUUCGGAAAGAGAGACUGGUCUUUAAUCAUAAUUGAAUGGUCCUCCAUGAUUCGAACGCACAAGACUUGAGUGUGUUUGGCUGAGUGGUUUAAUAUAUUUAAAGAAAAAUAAAAAAAUUAAUUUUAUAUGUUUUUGUAUCGUUUAAAUGUGAUGAUAUAACAAAUAAUUUUCAAAAAAUAAAAAAUUAUAUUAUUUUAAUAUAUUUUUUAACAAAAAAUAUUUUGAAAAACAAUCACUACCAUAUUCUCAAACACUUUUUUUCUUUAGUCUUUGAAAUAAAAAAUAAAGAAUAUACAGAGAAAUAAUUAGUAUUGAGAAAUAUACAAAAAAUAGACAGAUACAAUUAGACCGUACCAUAUGUGUAUUAUAGAUAAAUACACGUCAAGAAAUGAUGGACGUGUUUGUUAUUGUGGUAGCGGUUAUUUUUCAAAGUAUUUUUCGUUUAAAAAUAUAUUAAAAUAUUAAUUUAUUAUUAUUUUUUAUAUUUAAUUUUUAACAUCAAAACAAUUUGAAAAUAUCAAAAAAUAAUUAUUUUGAAGUAAAUUAACUAACUGCAAUCCUAUGAUAAAGAUAAUUUAUUCGAGAACGCCUUUAAUAUUCAUGAUUUUAUGAAUAUGAAUUGAUAUUGGUUAAAAAAUAAUCAGAAAUAAAAUAAUCGUGGUGCAUCUUGUUUCUGUUCUACAUGUUGGAAUUUAUUUAUUGAUUGAUCCUCCCAAUUCCGCCACUAUUUUUUUGUUUGUUUGUUAACUAACACUAAAAAAACUGUGGUGCAUUCUAUAUUAAGGUUUGCUAAAAUUCAAUUUUUUUAUUUAAAAUUAUUUUUGGAUUAUUUUGAUAAUGUUAAAAAUAAUUUUUUUAAAAUAAAAAAUAUAUUAUUUUAAUAUAUUUUUAAAUUAAAAAAAAUCCUUUAAAGCACAAACAACUAUCAUUACAAUUUUAAACAAUUCGUGUAGUUCAACUACACAAGUCUUCAACCAAGAAGAUAAAGGAUACGGAAGAGAAACUUUUAGUACUGAGAAAGAUAUACAGCCAAACAAGUCGACUGAUGCAAUUAGAUCAUACCGUACAGAAUAUCAUUGAUCCACAGGUCAGAUCAAUUUUUCUUAACGUUAAAAAGAUAUUAGUAGCUGGUGGACUAGAAUUCUAUUACAGUUCAGUUCAGUUCUAGUCUGAAUUUUUGACACUUGCAUCGAUGCUUAGCACAUAUGCAACCACAUUAACGAUUGUGUUUCUCAUCUUUCACUUGCUGACCAAAUGCCGGUUUGCUUGACUCAAUAGUCGACCAUAGCAAUAUAGUUUCAGCUGCAACUGCAAACGUCCUUGUAUCACAUUAGGGGAAGGGAGAGGGUGGGACAGAAAAACUCAAAGGAAAUUUCAAUUUAAGCUAAGCACAAAUGAUCAUCUUGCAUAUAGCCGAAGUAUACAUUUAACGUAUACAUUAGAUAGUUGCUAGCUGCGAUUCGAAGAAAGACAGAAAACACAUAGUUAGGUUUACUCUGACAGUUGUAGACUUGCCAGAAUCAGCAAUUUAUCAACUGGCUGUUCUUAGGAAAACUACAUAUGUAUACAUUGGAACAGUAGCAUGACAUUUUUUGGACACCUACUAAGGGAAAGCAGCAGACAGGAAGUCCUCAUCCUCCUCAAAACUCUGCAAAUUCUUGGACUUCAUUAAGAACUGAACUGCUUCUUCAUUGAAACUGACCAGGACAGCCAACUUGAUCAGCUCAGAGAGUGUGCUUAUAUGAUCUUCUUUAUCCCACAACACGCCCUCAGCUAUGGCUUCAGCUAAAUAAGUGGCAUAUUCAAUGCGAACUUUGGGUCCACCAGCCUUGUCUGGCUUCUGUGUAUAAAUCUUUGAACUCUUUCUAUCCCAACGAAUCAUUCGACUUGCUCUUACUUUCACAAUCUCCCCUGAAGAGAGUGAUAGACUAUAGCUUACGGUAUGUGGCUCCGCAGUCACAAGGGCAGUGAUGUUGAGGAGGCACUGAACAGCUUCAUGCCUCUUUUUCACUUGCAUUUUUAAAGAAGGAUCAGCUAAAAAGCCAAGAAUGAGGCGAACCAUCUCUUUUCCUAUAAAAAGGACUCUUGGAUUCAACGGUUUGAGUUUCACCCCAUCUGCCAAGGACAGUUCUUCCUUCCGUGCAGAUUCAGAAAUUGUGCGAACUCCGAUUUUCCUGUAUAUUUCAAGCAACUUACUUCGGGGCAAAGAAGGCAAGCUCGGCUGAGGAUACCAGACAAGUACUGGGCGAGGAGAAAGCUUUUCAAAAAGUUCCUUCAGAAGAAGGUCAUCAGCUACAAAAACAUCAUUCUUGUCUAACAACAAAAUUUCUCCACAGCCAGAAUGAACAGGCAGUUUCAUUAAGCCAUCAGCAAGAGUUGUCUCAACCUCUGAGCUCCAUUGACUCAUAACACACUCCCAGAAUGCACAACACUGAGCAUGUGAUAAUUGGUAUCCUGAAGUUUCCCAAACCUCCCAAAGCUUGCAGUGAGAAUCAAAAGAAGGAUAAGAAGUGACAUUAAAUGCAGUGGAGAAGAAACAAAGCAAGUCCGGCUCAUAGUAUUCCUCCAAAAAAUUAAACUGCUGACCAAAAAGACCAUCUCUGUUGCGCAGGACACAUUCUUCUGGAUUAACCCACUUACCGUUCUCGUGUCCAUCAGGAAUCCAAAUCUUUCUGGUUGCAUCACUUUCUGGCAUCCACUCAUUUCUGCUCAAAAAUUUGAAUAUUCGAACAAUAGUGGAAAAAUCAGAAUGGUGAUAUAAGUUACUGGCUAGCAAUGGGCAUGCCUCUUCCACUUCAACAGUAACUCCUAUAGAGCUCAGCUCUUCCCUAUAUGAUGUGAUGUUAGAUCCAUAAAACACUUCAUCAAUGAAAGGUCCGUCAGUGCUCUUCAAAUACAAACCCCAUUUGGAAUCAAACAAGCAACAGUUGUCUGGAGUCCUGUAGCCAACAUGGGUUUUUAACCACUCUCGACGAACAUUUUUUAGAAAAGUGUCAGGAAAGGAGUAAUCCUUCUCUUUCAAUAAGAUUCGGAUGCACUCCAGCAAAGAGAACACAUUCUCAGAAGUUAUGUGACAAGGAUUCAGAGGAAAAUAAAGACCCGCAGCUACAAAUUUCACACCAGCUUUAAAUUCAACAACAACUCCCAUCUUCUUCAGCUCCUUUUCAUAUUCACGAAUACCCUUCUCGUAGAACUUGUCACUAUCAUCAAUGAACGGAAGGAGAGUAAUUGCAAGGAUUGACUCCCAUUCAGGACCAUACAGGAUGCAGUUUCUUGGACAUCUAUAAGCACCAGGGUCGGGUCAACUCAUCCGGGUGAAGAAGACGCGUGGGGCGCGUCUGCGCGCGUGGGCAGACGCCUUGCCGGAGAGUGAUGGAGAGUGCGGCCAUGUCCGACGUCCGAUUUUGACGCCGUUUUCACCAGUGGCUUCGUCUCGGCCUCCUCUACACAGUGGUAUGGUCAAAACACCAUUUUGAGAACUUUCAUUUUUGAGCAAAAAUCAAACACCCCUUUAAACCAUGUGCUCUGAUACCAAUUGUUGGGGAAAUCCGACCGGGGGUGUACUGAUAAUUGCUCAUAGGAGGGUAAAGCACACUGACAUAAUAUUUUACGUGGUUCGGCAAAUCGGCCUACAUCCACGGGAGAGUCUAUAUUAUUGAGAUAUAUAGAGAAAGGAUUACAAUAUAUAUGGAGGAGGAGGAUCACUUCACUCUCUCAACUCCCAGCUCUUAACUGCUGCACUUGCAGCUGCUGCAAUGGCAGCAAGGCUGCUGCCAUUGCAGCUCUCUUUCUCUCCACUCUCUUGCACACACUCACGUUUUCACACCCAUUUUGCUCUCACAUAAUGCCUCUAUUUAUAGGCAUUUCAUGGCAGAUGUUCUUGCUUUGUUGUCAACAUUGGUGGCUGCCAAACUCCAGCUCAUUCAACAAUGGUGGCUGCCAACUCCUCCUCUUCUUCAACAAUGGUGGCUGCCAAACUCCAGCUCAUUCAACAAUGGUGGCUGCCAACUCCUCCUCUUCUUCAACAAUGGUGGCUGCCAAUAGUCAAUGGUUGGUGUUGUCCAUUUGCUGCACAUGCAAUGGCAACAACCCAACAAUCACCCCACCUGUUCCCUUGUGCCGUCAUCCUGCUAGUCUUCAACCGUUUCAUUACAAACUGCUAUAUAUACGAAAAUAGUACCGUAUGGAUAAUCCUUCCACUAAGCAAGUUCCCAGGAAAGAUUGGAGGGGUCACACUGGUCCCGCUUAAAACCCAACCUCCUAGACAGAACUUCUUAGGCCAUAUCUAUCCAUCGUACUGUCUUUCCGUAUAUACAACCAUUUGCUAGCUUUGUUGCGGCUUUCAUUUACAAGUGAUCUGGAAUAUACUGGUUUAAUACAUGAUUUCUCAACAUCUGGCGAGACUACCAGUUCUUAGACUCGUCAAGAUUGGUCUUCAUCAAUUUCCACUCUUCACCUCAAAUUAUCCACAUGAUCGGGUUGGUGGCCACCAUUGUUGACAAAAGAGCAAGAGGAGCUGCCAUGGAUGCCUAUAAAUAGAGGCAUACAUUAGAGAGCAAAAUGAGAGAGUUGAGAGAGGGAAAGAAGAGCCAAAGAUGUGAGAAAUGUAGGAGAGAGUGGGCUGUCAAGGCAGCCAGCAGUAGUUGCCAUUGCAGCACUGAGAAGAGAGAAAUAGAGUGAGGUUGAGAGUUGCUAAAGAGAGGAUGAUUCCUCCUCCUCUAUUGUUGUAAAUCUUGUUCUCUCCCUAUAUAAUCAAAUGGCUUCUCCCGUGGAUGUAGGCGGUUUGCCGAACCACGUUAAAUAUUGUGUCAGUGUGCUUUACCUCCUAUAGGCAAAUAUCAGAACAUCACCGGUCGGAAUUCCCUACACAUGUAACUUUAUCUCAGAAACUUUCACCUCAACUCGAAGCCAUUGCAGGAUGGCCUCCUUCUUAGAAAAUGAAUAGAUGGCUUCCUGUGUACUUUUCGGCUGGAAAAAUCUAUUUCCAACAAAUCCAAAUUCCUUGUUCCAAUCAAUCAACCAAGAUGUAUAAUGAGUUUCAUGUGAUCGACACAACAACCUCCCACUGUUCUUCUGAGCUGAUUCGUUGACGCUGCACAAAGACACACUACCAUCACGAUCUACAUAUUUUAUGAGUGGAAUGUCGCCCAUCGUGGUGGUGCAAAACUUCGUACGCCAAUUAUUGGCCACAAAAAGAACAAUUUGCAGAUAAACAUCUUCUGAGACUCCCAUUAAGAGAUUAGAACUCCGAAUGCACCUUGCAUACCAUUCAUUGUUCACAUGUCCCACACCCAAGAAAUCAAGUAUAUGAUCAUACUCAGGUUUAUCAAAGUGAGAGCUCAGAACAUGCCAGCCAUGGGAUGAAGGAUUAUCAAAUCUCACCCCUUCCUUCCUUGCCUUGUUCAACACACUCCAGAAUGCAGGCAUUAUUCGACCAAUUUCUGAUGGUUUGUGGAAGAACUUCUGCUCUGUGAAAGGCUCACUUGGAACAAUUUCUUCUUCAGCCAGCUUUACUUUGAUUGAUUCACUCACAGCAUUAAGUGUUGGAUAGUGAGAACUCUUGAUUGGCAAGAACUGGAACAAGCGAGGCAGACUAGACACCGGUGCAUCUUCUCUCAUUUUGACUAACGAGACUAAUGCAUUAAUAAAAGCAAGCGGCACGCAAUCAAGAAUCCCUUGAUUCCAAUUGUCAUCCAAAAGUAUUGUUUCCCUAGAUGAUGCCAGAAUAAAAUCUGCUUGAAUUAUGAAGGGCAAAUUUGUGACCAUCUCCGUAGGAAGAAACGCAUAGAUUCCAGGCAAGCUCCUUCCUCGACGGAGACGCUUUCCAUUAGGAAAAGCCAGAGUGAUUACCCAAUCUUUCACUCCCAUUCUCUUCUCGAUUUUGUUUUUUUUUUUCACUGGAAACUUCUGUUUCCACACAGAAUAGCUGCAUUCUCUGUCUUGCUCAUCAGUAUUGUUUUCCUCCGCAGACAGAUGGAGUGUGUAGGACUCGGCAUCCAUGCUCUCCCUAGCCCUGAAAUUAGUUCUUUUUGUAAUAGCUAUUGCACUCACUGUAUUGAGCCUGGGAUCCUCGUUCUGUUCCCUGACAGAAAGGCUUUUAAUCUUCGAAAGAAAUAAAAGCACUUCAGGAUGAAUGCUGGACAGCUGCUGCUUCACAGGCUUCACCUUGUUAGGUUUCAGGGGCAAGACUAUUGUUGUUGUCGGAAGAGUUGAAUUGGAACCGUAUAUUUGUUUAAUGUCAGAAAGAGAUGGAUUCUCCUCAACCCAUUCAGGAACAACGUAUCCAAGAUUGCAGAGGGGGCAAGGCUUUUCAUUGAAGCGUAUCUGAUAGCCGUUGCUGAAUAUGAAAGGCUGGGGAGUGAUCAGAAACACACUCUUGAACCCAAUUCCUGAAAAUCAACCAAUUGUUUGGUACUUUAGAACAACAUUAGACAUACAGUAUAAAACCUUUCCUAUGGAGAAAGCUCGUAAAGAUCGUGCACUAAAUUCAGAGUCAAGUAGAGAAAUCUACUUUAAUAAGUAACUUAAUCACAAGUCUUGUUCUCCAUACUUAUCAAGGACAAGUAAUUAAACGCACAUGGGCAUGUAGGAUGCUAACAUUAAUUCAUUGAUUUGGCAUAAAAAACAAUGGAGCUUAAGAUUGGCCCUGCUGAUUUAGAACUAACGAACUAUAGAAUCACUUCUGCUUUGUGGUCUUUGGAAUCAACCACGACGUUGACAAUAGCAAAAGAUUUUCUGAAAUUGUCAACGUUGAACAGAAUGGCCUCAUUUCAAUAUUUUAUUCACAUUCAGCAUAAACAUAUACGAUAAAUAUUCCAUUUAAACCUGGGAGGCUACUAGUUGAAAUUUAGUCAGGAAUGAGUGAGUGAGAAAAAUACCUUUCUCCCCAAUAUAACUACGUUUGCUGUUGCCUUUCUUAGUGGAAUUCCCAACACUGCAAAUCGACUCUAUGUUUUUAGCAGAAAAACCCUUCUCGCUAUUGAAGAUCAGCAAAGUGGAUGGUGCACCGGUGGCUGUUAUAUCACGAGAUGUUAUGACGAACUCGAGCGAAGGGUCUACACCUUCCAAGUAAUCAUUGUCCUCCGCAUUCUGAGAAUGAAAAUUCACCACUUGGUAAAUUACACAACCAAGAUUUAAUUACUAAUAAUUGUGUGUCUGUCAUAACUCGGCUACUUGGAUCGAUAUCUUCGUACGUAGCAAUAUUUAUGGUCCGAUAACACAAGGAUGGUAAGACAAGGAUAAGUUCAAGAAGAGGCCUGAGUUGAAAAGAGUGAUCGGCCUCACGAAAAAGAUUCAUACCUUUACGGACGGUGAGGAGUUGUAAAUAUGUUAGAGAUGCAAACUACUUGAAAAAAUAAAUAAAUAAUACAAAUCUGUAUUAGAGUUCUUGCGGUUGAAGUCGGCUUGAUAUCUUUCGUGUGCUUCACAUUAUUACAAGCAAAAAUAUUGUAUUUUUAGCCACAUCGCUGAUUUGUUGAAGUCUUCAGAUUCGGCAACAGACAAGAAGGGAAAUAGUUGCAUUUUUUCUCCCCUCCUUUUAACAUCAAGACCUCAACUCUCGAAAACUAAAGCAAUUAACUGGUUGACUUGUGCUUGAAUUUAGCUUUUCAACUCCCUAGUAUUUUAAUUAUUUGGAAUUAAAGAAAACACCAAGACUCAAGGCUCAGCAUGGGAACAAAACUAUUAGCAAGUCAUUGACCACCAACUCAACACAUCAAUAUGCUCUUUACUGCACCAACAGGUAAUUAAGUAAAACCAACACAAUAAAGAAGUGAAGGAAAGAAAGAAAAACCUGAAUGAGCUCCAUGAGAAAGUGGACAUCUUUAGUGUAGAGCUCGGCAGAGAGAUACUUGACAGCCUGAUCAAGCAUAGGAGCCAAAGGGUUCUUUUCUCCUCCUAUUGAGAAUGUUGUUUUUCUAAUGUGCUCUAUGUGUUCUCUCGGACUCGCCAUUGCAACGAAAACCAAUGGAUUCAAUACACAAAGCACUGUGUAUUGAAUUAGUGAUGUGGUCUUGCUAUGAAGAGUGAAGAGUAGUGGAGAGAUUGUGAAUAUUGGAAGCUUAACAUGGAAGAAAGCACGUUUGGUCUUGAUGGGGGGAAUAAAGUGGAAAGCUAUAGAUGACACCUUAAGAAAUCACUGUCUCUAUGUUAUGCAUUAAUUCGAAUAAAUAUUAAUAAAAAGACUUGAUUGAGAAUGUUUUGAAAUGAUUGAAAUGAGUACAUAGGUCAAUUGAUUACAAUAAAUUUUGAGGAAACUAACGACCUUUGGGUCUAGUGUGAUUAAAAGAUUUUCGUACGGAAAAGCAAAAAAGUGUCGAACACAAAAAGCCAAAAAAAUAAGAAGACAAAAGAUAAGUCAAUUGUUUGUAGAUGAUAACGUGGUAUAACUGUUGAUCAUCUGAUUGAUUUAUUUAUUUUUGUUGACUUUUUUUUUUUAGUUUAACGUGGGUGUCCAGGCCAGCUUGCACGUACCUCGACUAAUCCCACGGGCCCUGAAGUUAACGACCAUGUAAGCCUCCAGUAGCCAUCAUAUGAGCAACCACAUGGCUCGAACCUGAGACCACAGAGGGAGCAAACCUCUUGGUCUCAAUCUCUUACCACUGGGCCACCACCUAGAUAGUUUUGUUGAAAUCUUUUUAUAUGAUAACAGUGGUGAUUUUUUUUUUUUGUUAGUGAAAGUUUCUUUUAAACUCUGAUUCGAGUGAAGUGAAGGGAGAGAUUAGAAACGCGAUUCAGAUCGUGUUUCAAUAAAUAAUUUUUUUAUAUAUUUUUAUAUCAUUUUAAUAUAUUAAUAUUAAAAAUAAAAUUUAAAAAAUAAAAUUUUUUAUUUUAAUGUAUUUUUAAGUAAAAAAUAUUUUUAAUAACUAAAGUUUUUUUUUUUUUUUUUUUUAAGUUUGGGAGGACUUGGACCUAAUAAUAGAUAAUAUAUCCGUACACAACAUGACAAGAGUUGAGUUUUUUUUUUCCUUAAAAGAAAAGAAACCAAGUCUCAUGUCCUUCGAAAGAAGUUGGCACUUAGAAUUCAUUAAAAAGAAAAUAAAAGAGCUAUUAUAUAGGAUUUAGAAGGCCCAUAUUAAUCUAUUAGGCCCAAGUCCUCCUCUUCCUAGUCCUCCACCUAAACCCCCAAAACGGACAGACGCACGCACGCACAGAGAAGAGUUGUGAUUCCUCAAAGCCUCAAUUCAAGUGGCCGUUUCUGAGAAUCUGAUAUAGCUUUUUAAAAUAUUUUUUAUUUAAUAAUGUAUUAAAAUUAUAUUUUUUUAUAUUAAUAUAUUAAAAUAAUUUAAAAAUAUAGCACACCUCAUAUCAAGCCAAGGGUGUGGAUGAUUAUUUUUUAUUCAAUUAAAUUUUUAUAAAAAAAAAUAAUUAAAUUGAAAUUUUAAGAAAAAAACUAAACUGAAACCAGUUCAAACUGAUCGAUUUCGGUUCGUUUUGGUUUUUUAGGAUAAAAGCCGGUUUGACUCGGUUUUUCCGAUUUUGCUCGGGUUUUUGGUUUUUUAGGAUAAAAGCCGGUUUGACUCGGUUUUUCCGAUUUUGCUCGGGUUUUUUUCCCGGUUUUUUCGGUUUGGGUUCGGUUCGGUUUUUUCGGUUUGAGGCUUAUAAAACCAAAACCGAACCGAAUCAGUAGUUUUUUUCAAAAUUUUAAUCGGUUUAAUCAGUUUUUUUCAUAGUUCGGUUUUUUCGGUUAUUUUUUUUUCAGUUUUCUCAAUUUUUUGAUUUUUUGCUCACCGCAUCAAGCAUACAAAAAUCUAUUCCUCAAAUAAUGAACUUUGAUGAAAUCUUGUAAAAAAUAAAUAAAGAUGUUAUAAUAAAUUAAAAUAUUAUUUGAUUUUGUAUUUUAGAAGUGUUUUAAAAAAAUUGAAAUUUUUUUAUUUUGUGUUUCUAAAUCAUUUUAAUAUGUUUAAAUAUUUAUUUUUUUAAAAUAUUUUUUUAAAAUAUUUAUAUAUAUAUAACAAAAAACACUUAAGAAAACUGCUACCACACGUGUUAGCAGAGGUUAUGUUCCAUUCCGCCAUACGAGACUUUGGUACCAAUUUCUUUAUACCAUGGAAGUGCUUCCACUCUCUCUAAGCCAAGUUGUAGCAUUUUCUUUAUCAAUUCAUCAAAAUAAAGGCACUGGAAUCAGAUACUAUUCACCGGCACUCCGUAGAUAAACCACAACAUCAAAUCAAUGUUGCCUCAGAUCAUCUGUAAUUGUUGGAUUCUGAUCGAUUUUUGGAGCAAUUAAAGCUUCCAAAGCAUCCUAGACAUGAGGAACAAGGGAACAUUUUUCAAGCCUCUGCUUUUCAUUCAAAAGAUGUCCAGGGGAAGCCUUAUGGUGGUUCAACAAGAAGAUGUGUACAGUUUGCUACUUAUUUUAAUGUAGUGAUUAAGAAUCCUUUUAUUGAGAAUAUUUUCUUCUUUACUUGGGAGACGAAACUGCUAUUUGCAGGUUUAGGUUCACAAGCAGGGGACUGCUGUAGGGAGGUCUCUAGACCCAACAAAGUUUAAUGGCUACAAUGAAUUGACAACAAAAUUGGAUCAGAUUCUUGAAUUCAAUGGUAAAUUAGCUGCCCCUAACAAAGAUAGGCUGAUUGUUUCUAUUAAUGAUGAGGGUGAUAUGAUACUUGUAGGAGAUUAUCCCUGGCUGUAAGAACUCAAACCCGAAGUCCUAUUUUUCUGUUCGAACACAAAUUGAUCGGCAAAUCUCAUUCACUCUCUUUGUCCUUGAAUGAUAUAAGACUUUAGCACCGACUGCUUUGCUCUGUCCUUAAAUGAUACAAGGCAAGUUGUAAAAUCCUUAUUCAGAUGCAAGGACUGUAUCUCAUCUUAAUUCCUCCCUUUUCUUUUGUUUGUUUUAAAACAUAGAUACAACUAGUUUAAUUAAGUCAAUUACAACUUUGGUUUUUUAUGUGUAAAACUCGGUCAAGAUUCUAUAUCCAUCGAGUCUCGAGUUAAUUUGUGAGUUUAAGCUGGGUUUUAAAAUUAGAUCCGAGUCAACUUGUGUGGUCACGCUGAGUUUUAAAACAUGUGUAGAUAUUUAUGGAUUGAUAUGAAAACUCUAUUUACAAAAUUCUCUCUUUGUAAUUAUUGUUUUUCAUAUAGAGGCAGAAUAAUAAUAAUAAAAACCUAAUCAGAGUAUAUAUUCAAAUGACCAUGCGUACAGCUGCAGAGUUAACAAAGCAUAAAAAAUAGCCAGAUUUCAUUAGAUAGCAGACUAGCUGAAUCAGCUUAAUAACUGAUCCUCUCUUGCAUUGAUCCAAUAGCUCAGACAAUUAUAGAUUAUUAACAAAACAAAAUUCGGUUAGGCAGAUGAAUAGUGCUGGAUGAAGCAAUGGAAAAAAACAGGAGGCUGCAAUCUUGGAAUUAUUACCUGGAGAGAAGCGAAGGGAUGGCUGCAGUAAGGAACACCUCAUCCUCUAGAAAAGCUCAUGUGCUUCAUAACAGUCCCCCCAACAUGCACAGCACCCAUCAUGUGUCAAUGGAUGCCCUAAACUUCUCCAAUCCUUCCAAAGCUUACAGUAAUCAUCAAAUGAAGGGUUUUAUUUAACAUUAACUGCAUUGGAGGGGGAGAGAGAGAGAGAGAGAGGUAGAAGAGGGAAGAAAUUGGAGGGAGAAACAUCACCCCUGUCAGGCAAAAAGCUUGUUUCUACUAUGGGAUCUUUUCCAAAUUUCCCGCGCACUAAACUCUUUGGCUCUGAGCUUUCUGCAGAUAGCACUGAUAAAAGAUAAGUGUCAAGGUUAAAACGUAAAAUUAGUUGUAAUCCAGUUCAUUUAGCUACCAAGUAGAAGGAUAAAAUCAAAUAAAGUUCAUUGCAGCAGGGCAAAAAUUUACGAAGUGAGGGUUCUUCACAGGCAAGAAAAUCCAAAACUCUCACACAAAGAACAAUGGCUUCUCUAUUGCUCCAGAGCUUAGAACAUACCAGCCAUGGGAUGAAAGAUUAUGCAAGCUCACCCCCUGCAUCUUUGCCCUGCUCAAAAUACUCCAGAAUGAAGGCACUAUUCGACCCAACUUCCCAGGGCUUGUGGAAGACUCACUUGGAGCAAUUUGUUCUUCAGCCAACUUUUCUUUGAUUGAUUGCCUCCCAGAUUUCGAAGUUGGAUAAUCAGAGCUCAUGAUUCGCAAGAACUGGAACAUUGCAAGAAACCAAGUUAAAAACAAAGUUUAAAUUGCAGCUAAAUUAUAAUAAAAUUAUGAUAACAACCGAGUUAAUUUUCAAUAUAAAUUUUGAGCCGACCUUAAUGAUUAUAUAAAGAGAAAGGAAUUAAAUAACAUUAAAGACUCCUAAUCAUGAGAGAAUCCUAAAGAAAAACAACAGCUAAUGGAGGGAAUAAAGAAAGCAAUUUACGGCAGAAAUAAUUUUUUUUUUCUGUUUUUGUCAAUUUUUCAAUAGCUAUGAACUAAACUUUGGUUUUCGGUUCAAAAAAGUUUUAUUUUAUUAUUGUUUUAGAUUGCGAGAAGAGAUAUUUUCAACUUCAUUUCUGGAUAUUCAAGUAUUUAUUUUGCCUAAUUUGGUAUGUAGUUUAUUGUUUUCAUUCAAGCUUUUUGAAUGAUUUAUGUAGUAAGUAUGCUUUUGUUUUUGUUAAUUUUUCAAUCUGUAAUUGUUGAUUUUGAUAAAAAAAAAAACAAAAUAAAUAAAUUAGGUUGAUCUAACUUUUAAGAAUAAGACAAGUAAAAAUCAUUAAGCUUUUUAACGAUAGCUUAGAAUACUUGAUUGUUUUUCGCUCUUAAAGCCUUCGUCACCGAAUAUAAAAAUUGCUUUUUAAUCUUUAAUUCAAUUGAUGUUAGGGAAUUAAUUAGGACCUUUUUCUAAUUAAUUUGAUCUUUUUCGAUCUUCAUUGCUCAAAGGAAUUUAAGUAUUUACUUAAAUUAAAAAAAUAUUUAUUUUACUUCGAUGAUCAAUCUCAUUUGUUGAAAAGAUAAUUCAUUUGAAUCGAGCAUAAAUACACUAAAUUAUCUUUUAGUUUUAUUUUUAGAAUUUUAAUUUUCUUUAGUUUCUUAUUAAUCCCCAUUAUCUUUAUUUCUAUUUCUUAUAAGAGGAAUUAAAACAAUUUCCCUUGGAAUUGAUUUGGCUUUAGUGUCUAUGAACCAUGACACUCAAUCUUGCACGGACCCUAAUGUUAUGGAGGCUAAGGUUGUGGUUCGUUCUUGUGGACAUGACGGGCCUUUUGGAGCUGCUGGUGUUAAGAGAUCCUGGAAUGAAAGCACUCGACAUGAACGCUGCUGAAGAUGCAAUUGUUAGGCUUACAAGAGAGAUUGUGCCUGGUAUGAUUGUUACAGGCAUGGAAGUUGCAGAAAUUGAUGGAGCACCAAUAAUGGAUAUAUAUAUAUAUAUAUAUAUAUAUAUAUAUAUAUAUAUAUAUAUAUAUAUAUAUAUAUAUAUAUAUAUAUAUAUAUAUAUAUAUAAAAGUUCAUGUGCAAAUCAUACUGUUUUAUCAAGCUAGGUCCAACAUUUGGGGCAAUGAUGAUCUCAGGGCAGAAGGCUGCACACUUGGCUUUGAAGGAUUUGGGGCAGCCAAAUGCCCAAGACGGGACAUUCAGUCUACAGCCAGAGCUUGUGCUUGCUGCCGCUGGGAUAUUAAUUGUCGAUGCAUGAACACAGUAGGACUUCUUGAUUAGAGACUUACAUUGUCAAAUAAAAUAAAAAUAUUAUUUUAAUAUAUUUUUUAAUAAAAAAUAUUUUAAAAAAUAAUCACUGUUAUACUUACAAACACCACAUAAAAUUUCAGAUAUAAAUCAAUUAACUUUUCCUUAAUACCAUAAUCAACGUGAUCUUGCACAUCAAACGAAAAACAACACUUAACAUUAGGUUUAGGUUUUUUAUAUAAAAAAAAUCACUCUUAUAACUUAACUUCAGGGUCUUUAACUUAGUUAUUUUUAUAAAUGUUUUAGAGGUAUUUUGAUUUUUUAAUUAAUAUUAAUAAUAAUUUUUUUUAUUUUAACUUUUAAUAUUAAAUUAAUUGAGAAAUAAAUUUCAUGUGUGAUUUUUUCUUCAUUUUAUAUGUGGUUUUCAUGAUCUCGAAUAAAUAUCUAUAUUAAAAAAUAAUAUAAAUCAUAUUUUGAGACCUCACCUAAUAAUUUAGCCUUUUAUGUUGAGAUUGUUCUUUGACAUCUCAUUGAUAUAUGUAAAUAAUUUUUUUAUUGGACACAAAUUAAGUAAAUGAUGUAUUUUCCUUUACUAAAGUCAAAUCAAUUUCACAAUUUAAACCCUAUUUUUUAAAAAAGAAUCAAUUAGCGAAUCAAAUCAAUUUAAUCUACUAGUAGAUUAGUGACAAACUUUUUUAGGUUAUUCAAUACUUAACAGCUCUAUAAGCAAUCCUUGAGCCUCUUUAUAUCUUUCUCAAAAUGACCGUAAUGAUAAACUACUGAUACAUCUACGUACCAGAACUUUCUCUGAUAAGAAAUCAGAAACUUAAUUUAGAAAAAAGAGCAUACUGAUCAAGUUUUUAUUGCUUCUGCUUUCAUUGAAAAAAAGCUUAUAUUUUCUUCAUUUUUCUCCUUCAGCUCUCAGGGAGCUUUGGAAAGAAGAAGGGAAAGAAAUGGAGAAGAUUCAGGGCGUUCCUAAAGGAAAGAAUCUGCUGAAAGUUAAAAUCAUGCUACUGUCCAACUUGCACAGACGGCCAUCACAAAGCUCGUCUUCUUAUCCAUUAAGAAGUUUGCUAGAAAGAGUGAAGGAAGCCCAUAGACCUUUUUUUGUUUUCCCUUUGCUGCUUUUGUUGUCACGAGUCAUGUUCUUUGCAAUGAUGGGAAUUUUCUUUUAUCAAGUGUUCUGUUUCAUAUUAACAAUUCAGCCAUGAAUAUCAUGCUAUAUAGAUGUGAAAUACUGUGUUCUGGAAGAGUUUUUUAGGCAACCAUUUCCUUGCCCCAUCCACCAAUUAUCUGACGAAAUUUGGAUAAAUCUGAUGUUGGUGUUCAAUUGAAAGUGACAUUGUUCGGAAGCGGAAUACGCAUUGUUAAAUAAUAUUUAUAUAGUCUUAUUUAUUAAGGGUAGAAUAGUACUUUCAGUUUAACCUAUAUAUACUUUAUUUGUAUUUAGGUUAAGACUAAACACUCAUAAUAUACAGAUUAUUCAGAAUUCUAGCCUCCUUUUGUGUUUAAUCUUAAUUAUUUUAACAAGGUAUCAGAGCUGGUUUUAUAGAACGAGACUUAAUCCCGAACACAACUUCACGGAUCCAACUUUGGAGUGAGAUUUUGUCUUCUGCUUCUGCAAAAUUUGGUAUUUCGUCAAUUUCUGCAAUUAUUUUGGUAUUUCGUCUUCCCUUCAGCUUUUACAAUUUGGUAUUUGCGUUCAGUUUCUACAAAUUUGUUUUGUGUUUUGGAGUAAUCAUAUAAUUUUGAGAAGAUAUUUGUUUAGUUUCUGCAAUCUCUGUUCAAUUUCUGCAAUUUGGUAUUUUGUUUUCCGCUGCUUUUGCAUUUCUCUGUGAUUGUUGAUUAUGGCUACUGAAAGAGAUGAUUUGAUUCAGUCUGUGAGUGUGAGGUUGGAUGGGAAGAACUAUUCGUAUUGGAGCUAUGUAAUGCAAAAUUUUCUUAAGGGUAAGAAGAUGUAGGGGGUAUGUUAGUGGAACUUAUAUGAUACCUAAGAAUAUUGAGGAGGGGGAUGCUGUUUUGAUAGAUACAUGGGAAAUAAAUAAUGCAAAGAUCAUUAAUUGGAUCAACAAUUCUGUUGAGCAUUCGAUAGGUACGCAGUUGGCGAAGUAUGAGACAACAAAAGAGGUUUGGGAUCAUCUGCAAAGGUUAUUCACGCAAUCAAAUUUUGCAAAACAGUAUCAAUUAGAGAAUGACAUACGAGCUCUUCAUCAGAAGAAUAUGAGUAUUCAAGAGUUUUAUUCUGCUAUGACAGAUCUUUGGGAUCAAUUGACUCUACAGAAUCGACAUAAUUAAAGGCAUGUGGUGCCUAUAUUGAGCGUAGAGAGCAGCAACGAUUGGUACAAUUUUUAACAGCACUUCGUAGUGACUUCGAAGGACUUAGAGGUUCAAUUCUGCAUCGUUCUUCACUACCUUCUGUUGACUCUGUUGUCAGUGAGUUAUUGGCUGAAGAAAUAAGUCUUCAGUCUUAUUCUGAAAAGGGAAUUCUUUCUGCUUCAAAUCCUUCUGUACUAGCAGUACCUUCUAAGCCAUUCUCUAAUCAUCAUAACAAGCCUUACACAAGGGUUGGCUUCGAUGAGUGCAGUUUCUGUAAGCAGAAAGGUCAUUGGAAGGCUCAAUGUCCUAAGUUAAGACAACAGAAUCAAGCUUGGAAGUCUGGCAGUCAGUCACAAUCGAAUGUUCAUAGACCACCUCAGGGUUAUAAAGCACCACACCAUAAUACUGCAGCAGUAGCUUCCCCAGGCUCUAUUACCGAUCCCAAGACUUUGGCUGAGCAAUUUCAGAAGUUUCUCUCCUUGCAGCCACAAGCAAUGUCCGCUUCUUCUUUCAUAGGUCAGUUGCCUCAUAGUUCCUCAGGUAUGUCACACUCUGAAUGGGUCUUGGAUUCUAGUGCUUCCCAUCACAUAUCUCCAGAUUCCUCAUCUUUUACCUCUGUGUCCCCUUUGUCCUCCAUUCCUGUUAUGGCUGCUGAUGGCACUCCUAUGCCCUUAGCAGGUGUUGGUUCUGUUGUCACACCUCACUUGUCUCUCCCUAAUGUUUAUCUUAUUCCAAAACUCAAAUUGAAUCUUGCGUCUGUUGGUCAAAUACGUGAUUCUGGUGAUUAUUUAGUCAUGUUUUCUGGUUCUUUUUGUUGUGUACAGGAUCUGCAGUCUCAUAAGCUGAUUGGGACAGGUCGUAGGGAGAAUGAACUAUAUAUUUUGGAUGAGUUAAAAGUAUCAGUUGCUGUUGUUGCCGCUGCUACUACUACUGUUGAUUUGUCUUCCUUUCGUUUGAGUCUUUCAUCUUCUAGUUUUUAUUUAUGGCAUUCCCGUCUAGGUCAUGUUUCGUCUUCUCGUUUGAGAUUUUUGGCAUCCACGGGAGCUUUAGGAAAUUUGAAAACUUGUGACAUUUUUUAUUGUAGUGGAUGUAAACUGGCAAAAUUUUCUGCUUUACCUUUUAAUCGAAGUAUUUCUAUUUCUUCUUCACCAUUUGAUUUGAUUCAUUUUGAUGUAUGAGGACCUUCUCAUGUUGCCACAAAAGGAGGGUCUUGAUAUUAUGUCUCUUUUAUUGAUGAUCAUACUCGUUAUUGUUGGGUUUAUUUAAUGAAACAUCGUUCUGAAUUCUUUGAGAUAUAUGCAGCUUUUCGAGCUCUUAUCAAAACGCAACAUUCUGUUGUGAUCAAAUGCUUUAGGUGUGAUUUGGGUGGGGAAUACACCUCUAAUAAAUUUUGCCAAUUGUUUGCCUUAGAUUGAACCAUCCACCAAACUUCAUGUACAGAUACUCCUGAGCAAAAUGGUGUUGCUGAAAAAAAACAUAGGCACAUUGUCGAAACUGCUCGUUCUCUCUUAUUGUCUGCUUUUGUUCCUAGUGAGUUUUUGGAAGAAGUUGUUCUUACUGCUGUAAGUUUAAUUAAUACAAUUGCAUCUUCUCAUAGUUCGGGUCUAUCUCCUUUUGAAAAGUUAUAUGGGUAUGUCCCUGAUUAUUCCUCAUUUAGAGUCUUUGGUUGUACUUGUUUCGUUCUUCGUCCUCAUGUAGAACGCAGUAAGUUAUCCUCUCGAUCCGCUAUUUGUGUCUUUCUGGGUUAUAGUGAAGGUAAAAAAAGGUAUCGUUGUUUUGAUCCAAUAACUCAGAAACUUUAUGUCUCGUCAUGUUAUCUUCCUUGAGUAUAUACCUUUCUUUUCUAUUCUAUCCACUACUCAUAACCUGACUAAAGCUGAUAUUAUUCAUAUAGAUCCCUUUUUUUUAGGAUUCUGGUAAUGAUACCUCUCCCCAUGUUCGAUCAAUUUGUACUCAUAACUCUGCAGGUACUGGUACUUUACUCUCUAGCACACCUGAAGCUUCAUUCUCAUCUACAGCCCCUCAAGCUUCAUCUGAAAUUGUGGAUCCGCCUCCACGUCAGUCCAUUCGAAUUCUUAAAUCCACAAAACUACCAGAUUUUGCUUAUUCUUGUUAUUCUUCAUCAUUUACUUCUUUUUUAGCUUCUAUUCAUUGCCUCUUUGAGCCUUCUUCCUAUAAAGAGGCAAUUUUUGAUCCGCUUUGGCAGCAAGCUAUGGAUGAGGAACUUUCUGCUUUGCAUAAGAUAAAUACUUGGGAUCUAGUUCCUCUACCUCCUGGUAAGAGUGUUAUUGGUUGUCGUUGGGUGUAUAAGAUCAAGACUAAUUCUGAUGGGUCUAUUGAGCGAUACAAAGCUAGGCUGGUUGCAAAAGGAUACUCUCAACAGUAUGGUACGGACUAUGAUGAGACAUUUGCCCCAGUUGUAAAAAUGGCUACUAUUCGUACUCUUAUUGUCAUAGCUUCGAUUCGUCAAUGACAUAUUUCUCAGCUUGAUGUUAAAAAUGUCUUCUUGAAUGGAGAUCUUCAAAAAGAAGUUUAUAUGACACCCCUCCUGGUAUUUCACAUGACUCUGGAUGUGUUUGUAAACUUAAGAAAGCAUUAUAUGGUCUCAAACAAGCACCCUGUGCUUGGUUUGAGAAAUUCUCUAUUGUGAUCUCAUCUCUUGGCUUUGUUUCUAGCAGUCAUGAUUCUGCUCUUUUUAUUAAGUGCACUGAUGCAGGUCGUAUCAUUCUGUCUUUAUAUGUUGAUGACAUGAUUAUUACUGGUGAUGACAUUGAUGGUAUUUCAGUUUUGAAGACAAAGUUAGCUAGACGAUUUGAAAUGAAGGAUUUGGGUUAUCUUCGAUAUUUCCUGGGUAUUGAGGUAGCAUACUCACCUAGAGGUUACCUUCUUUCUCGGUCGAAAUAUGUUGCAGAUAUUCUUGAGCGGGCUAGACUUACUGAUAACAAGACUGUAGAUACUCCCAUUGAGGUUAACGCAAGGUACUCUUCUUCUGAUGGUUUACCUUUGAUAGAUCCUACUUUAUAUCGCACUAUUGUUGGGAGUUUGGUAUAUCUCACCAUUACUCGUCCAGAUAUUGCAUAUGUUGUUCAUGUUGUUCAUGUUGUUAGUCAGUUUGUUGCUUCUCCUACUACUGUUCACUGGGCAACUGUUCUUUGUAUUUUGUGAUAUCUUCGGGGUACAGUUUUUUAGAGUCUUUUACUUUCAUCCACCUCUUCCUUGGAGUUGCGUGCAUACUCUGAUGCUGAUCAUGGUAGUGAUCCCACAGAUCACAAGUUUGUUACCGGGUUCUGUAUCUUUUUAGGUGAUUCUCUUAUUUCUUGGAAUAGCAAGAAACAUUCUAUUGUUUCUCAAUCAUCCACCGAAGCAGAAUAUCGUGCCAUUGCAUCUACUACCAAAGAGAUUGUUUGGUUACGUUGGUUACUUGCUGAUAUGGGAGUUUUCUUUUCUCAUCCUACUCCUAUGUAUUGUGACAACCAGAGUUCUAUUCAGAUUGCUCACAACUCGGUUUUUCAAGAGCGAACUAAGCACAUUGAGAUCGAUUGUCAUCUUACUCGUCAUCAUCUCAAGCAUGGCACCAUUGCUUUGCCUUUUGUUUCUUCUUCCUUGCAGAUUGCAGAUUUCUUUACCAAGGCACAUUCCAUCUCUCGUUUUCGUUUUCUGGUUGGCAAACUCUCGAUGCUUGUAGCUGCCGCAUCGUGAGUUUGAGAGGAGAUGUUAAAUAAUAUUUAUGUAGUCUUAUUUAUUAAGGGUAGAGUAGUACUUUCAUUUUAACCUAUAUAUACUUUAUUUGUAUUUAGGUUAAGACUAAGCACUUAUAAUAUACAGAUUAUUCAGAUUCUACCCUUCUUUUUGUGUUUGAUCUUAAUUAUUUUAACAAUCAAGACCUUUUGGAGAUCCUAAUGAUGUUUGCCUCUUUCGAUAGAAGAUUCACAAGAUAUUGAAGUUCCGAAGGACUGCUGUGCAAUUUGGAUGAGUUUUGAAAAACCUAUCAUCCCGAGUGACAAAUAUUCAGAUUCUUGGGCUUCAACAGAAACCUGAGCGUUCCCUUGAUGAAUUCCAGCAACUGAGCCAAUUUGAUCAGCUCAGAAGGUGCCCUUAUCUGAUGCUGUCCAUAAUACUACUCCAGAUAUUAUCCUUCAGCAAAAUGCGACUGAAAUUCGAUAGGACACAGUUCCACCGCUCUCCAUACCUGCCACUUUCGUAAGAGGCCUCACUAUAUCCCUAAUAUAUUGUGUUUUGCUCAGUCUUGCAUUCACUUUUUCCCCUGAAGAUAGACGCAUACUAUAGCUAUAAACUGGUUUCAUUUCAAGGACAGAGAACCUAACUAAAAACACUUUUAUCUGCGGGUAUGUCAGAAAAAGUUGAUGAUGGUGAUUAUACUUCAUGGUUUUCUCCAAAAUAUUCAAUUGCUACUAACCACCUUGUUAGGAGGCCAGAGACUCUAUACUUCAUGGUUUUAUCCAUUGUUUGGAAAGCAAUUUUAUUUCUAAUCCAAGAGACAGAAGGAAGAAAUUAUGUGUUCUUCCAAAAUGCUUAUGACAAAUCCACAAAAUCUUCAUCAAAGAUCUCGGACUGUCAAUAUUUUUGGUACUCACUAUUUGCUCAUAUCAAACAAACAGCAAGUUUAUAUACCUCAAAGACUCAAACAAUGAACUUGGCUAAAUUCUAUUACGAGGCAAUUAUGGCACAUAAAACCACGUGAGCAGUACUAUAUCGAUUUUCCAUAUGCAAAGCUCUGUGAUAGGAGUUCUCGAAUUAGAAUGCUGAUUGCAUGAUUUCUGUUAUUUGCUCUGUUGCAUGCAUGACAGUCGGAUGCCUGCUGAUAAAACACGAUCAUGUAUAGCAAUAUCGAGCUCCACUUUUGUCCUGCAAUGCAGUUGUGUUGGGCCUAUAUGCCUCUAAAUCUUAUAAUAUUUCUUAGCACAAACAGAGAUCUACCAAGAAUCAUCCCACGUAGAAAAAUUAAAUCAAAAUGGCAUAAGGACAUGCAUGCGUUCCGCGCACACAGGGGCAGGGGCAGAACACUUCCAUCAAACAUAUUUAAGUACACACCAUUUUAUAAUUCAAAAUGACCAUGCAUACAGCUGCAAAGCAAACAAAGCUGAAAAACACCCACCCAAGUUCACUAGAUAGUAGACUGACUGAACCAGCUUAACCGCUGAACUCCCUAACAUAUUUGAUCCAAUAGUUCAGACCAUCAUACAUAUUAACAAAAUUAUACUUGCUUAGACAGAUAAAUGGUGCUGGAAGAAGCAAAGGACAAAAACAGAAGCUUGUGAACUUGUAACUAUUAAGGGGUUCACACGUACCUAAACAGAAGGGAAGGCAGCAUUAAGGAACUCCUCGUCCUCCAGAAAAGUUUGAAGAUUAUUAGAUUUCAUCAAGAAUUGAACAGCUUGUUCAUCAAAAUUCAGGAGGAAAGCCAACUUGAUCAGUUCAGAGAGUGCUUUUAUUUGAUCUUCUUUAUCCCAUAACACCCCCCGAGCUAUUACUUCAGAAAAAGAGGUUGCAUAUUCAAUAAGAUUUUUCUGGCCGCCAGCUUUAUCCAUCUUCUGUGUGAAAAACUUUGAACACUCUUUAUCCCAGCGAAUCAUACGGCUUGCUUUCACCUUCAGAGGUUCCCCGUCAGAAAGCAAUAAACUAUAGCUUACAGU